rnacentral:rRNA from 1 species
GUGGGGAAUCUUGCGCAAUGGGCGAAAGCCUGACGCAGCCAUGCCGCGUGAAUGAUGAAGGUCUUAGGAUUGUAAAAUUCUUUCACCGGGGACGAUAAUGACGGUACCCGGAGAAGAAGCUCCGGCUAACUUCGUGCCAGCAGCCGCGGUAAUACGAAGGGGGCUAGCGUUGCUCGGAAUUACUGGGCGUAAAGGGCGCGUAGGCGGACAGCUUAGUCAGAGGUGAAAUCCCAGGGCUCAACCUUGGAAUUGCCUUUGAUACUGGCUGUCUUGAGUUUGGGAGAGGUGAGUGGAACUCCGAGUGUAGAGGUGAAAUUCGUAGAUAUUCGGAAGAAGACCAGUGGCGAAGGCGACUCACUGGCCCAAUACUGACGCUGAGGCGCGAAAGCGUGGGGAGCAAACAGGAUUAGAUACCCUGGUAGUCC